rnacentral:rRNA from 1 species
GUGGGGAAUUUUGGACAAUGGGCGCAAGCCUGAUCCAGCCAUGCCGCGUGAGUGAAGAAGGCCUUCGGGUUGUAAAGCUCUUUCGGCCGGGAAGAAAUCGGCGACUCUAACAUAGUCGCUGGAUGACGGUACCGGACUAAGAAGCACCGGCUAACUACGUGCCAGCAGCCGCGGUAAUACGUAGGGUGCGAGCGUUAAUCGGAAUUACUGGGCGUAAAGCGUGCGCAGGCGGUUUUGUAAGACAGAUGUGAAAUCCCCGGGCUUAACCUGGGAACUGCGUUUGUGACUGCAAGGCUAGAGUACGGCAGAGGGGGGUGGAAUUCCGCGUGUAGCAGUGAAAUGCGUAGAUAUGCGGAGGAACACCGAUGGCGAAGGCAAUCCCCUGGGCCUGCACUGACGCUCAUGCACGAAAGCGUGGGUAGCAAACAGGAUUAGAUACCCCUGUAGUCC